rnacentral:rRNA from 1 species
UACGUAGGGGGCGAGCGUUGUCCGGAUUUAUUGGGCGUAAAGAGCUCGUAGGCGGUUUGGUAAGUUGGAUGUGAAAUCUCCAGGCUCAACUUGGAGGGGUCAUUCGAUGCUGCCAUGACUAGAGUUCGGUAGGGGAGUGUGGAAUUCCUGGUGGAGCGGUGAAAUGCGCAGAUAUCAGGAGGAACACCCGUAGCGAAGGCGGCACUCUGGGCCGGAACUGACGCUGAGGAGCGAAAGCGUGGGGAGCGAACAGG